GCGGAAAUAGCUCAGUGGUAGAGCACAACCUUGCCAAGGUUGGGGUCGCGGGUUCGAAUCCCGUUUUCCGCU
rnacentral:tRNA from 1 species